AAUUCAAGGUCACAGAAUGUCGGGGAUGGACCUCCAGAUUUCCUUACUGUACUUAUCCUGUAUUACAUGAGGGAAAUGAAAUAAAAAGACUGCAACCCUCCUCCCAGCUACUCUAGUGAGGUGGUAGCUAGGUGAGACGUGGUCUUGUAACACAGUGGUUAAGAAUGUGACUUUGGAGCCAGCCUGCUAGGGGCUGAAUUCUGACUCAGCCAUUUAUUAACUGUGUGACCUUAGGGAGGAGGACCUGGUUGAUAGAAGAAUUUAUCUCAUAGUCUUAACAUCCACUGUAAUUCCGAACUUUGAGGACGAUAGAGAUCAGUGGGCUUUGACUGCCCAGCAUGCAGUCUCCAUUCUUAGAUGGAGUCUCACUCUGUAGCCCAAGCUGGAGUGGCGUGAUCUCGACUCACUGCAACCUCCGCCUCCUGGGCUCAAGUGAUUCUCGUGCCUCAGCCUCCUGAGUAGCUGGGACUACAGGUCAUAGAAUUUUCCACACUCCUUGACGGAGGUUCUUAACCCUUAUCCAUCAGCAUUCUCAGACAGCACCUCCGGUUAGGGACAGUAUCUGACCGUCCGACAUCCCUGCAGCCCCCAUGCUGUCACACAGACUCAGCCUCAGGUAGAUGGUUUCCGUAGAUGGUGGCUUUCUUUGGACCCUUGAUAUCAACCAGUUACUAUUUGCCAGAGACAGACUCCCAG
rnacentral:antisense_RNA from 1 species